rnacentral:rRNA from 1 species
ACUCCUACGGGAGGCAGCAGUGGGGAAUAUUGCACAAUGGGCGGAAGCCUGAUGCAGCAACGCCGCGUGCGGGAUGACGGCCUUCGGGUUGUAAACCGCUUUCGCCUGUGACGAAGCGUGAGUGACGGUAAUGGGUAAAGAAGCACCGGCUAACUANGG